GAUGGAUUUUUUUUCUGUGUGCUGUAGUUCACAACUUUUUCAUCAGCAGUUUCGGGAGGGGGAGAAAGCUGACGGGUUUACAGAUGACAUCGGUAGCGCCUUAUGAGAACAGCCAAGAGUCUCUCCCGGCAGCGUGUCCGAGCGCUCCUGCACAGCCCCGCCGUACCCCGCGCCUGCACGAGCACGUCUGCCCUGCACCAGGUCUUUCAUCAAAGGGUUCCUUUCACUCCACAUACAGAGACCACUUAAAUGCUACUAUAUGUUCAGC